rnacentral:rRNA from 1 species
AAUGAUACCCCGGUAGUCCACGCCGUAAACGGUGGGCACUAGGUGUGGGCGACAUUCCACGUCGUCCGUGCCGCAGCUAACGCAUUAAGUGCCCCGCCUGGGGAGUACGGCCGCAAGGCUAAAACUUAAAGGAAUUGACGGGGGCCCGCACAAGCGGCGGAGCAUGUGGCUUAAUUCGACGCAACGCGAAGAACCUUACCAAGGCUUGACAUACACCGGAAACGUCCAGAGAUGGGCGCCCCCUUGUGGUCGGUGUACAGGUGGUGCAUGGCUGUCGUCAGCUCGUGUCGUGAGAUGUUGGGUUAAGUCCCGCAACGAGCGCAACCCUUGUCCCGUGUUGCCAGCAGGCCCUUGUGGUGCUGGGGACUCACGGGAGACCGCCGGGGUCAACUCGGAGGAAGGUGGGGACGACGUCAAGUCAUCAUGCCCCUUAUGUCUUGGGCUGCACACGUGCUACAAUGGCCGGUACAAUGAGCUGCGAUACCGCGAGGUGGAGCGAAUCUCAAAAAGCCGGUCUCAGUUCGGAUUGGGGUCUGCAACUCCG